rnacentral:rRNA from 1 species
CAUCCUGCCUUUGAAGAGGCGGUGAUCAAAGCUGGGGAUCGCAAGACCUAGCACUCGAAGAGGGGCCCGCGUCCGAUUAGCUAGUUGGUGGGGUAAUGGCCCACCAAGGCAACGAUCGGUAGCCGGCCUGAGAGGGCGGACGACCACACUGGGACUGAGACACGGCCCAGACUCCUACGGGAGGCAGCGGUGGGGAAUUGUUCGCAAUGGGCGCAAGCCUGACGACGCAACGCCGCGUGGAGGAUGAAGAUCUUCGGGUCGUAAACUCCUUUCGAUCGAGACGAAUUCCUCCGGGGUGAAUAAUCCCGGAGGUUGACGGUACCGAGAGAAGAAGCCCCGGCUAACUCCGUGCCAGCAGCCGCGGUAAUACGGGGGGGGCAAGCGUUGUUCGGAAUUACUGGGCGUAAAGGGCUCGUAGGUGGCCAACUAAGUCGGACGUGAAAUCCCUCGGCUUAACCGGGGAACUGCGUCCGAUACUGGUUGGCUUGAGUUUGGGAGAGGGAUGCGGAAUUCCAGGUGUAGCGGUGAAAUGCGUAGAUAUCUGGAGGAACACCGGUGGCGAAGGCGGCAUCCUGGACCGGCAUUGACGCUGAGGCGCG